UCGCGCCGUCGCCCCUGCGAAGGCAGGGGCCGCUAUCGGUGCAGCGCAAGGCCGACAGCGGCCCCUGCCUUCGCAGGGGCGACGAUGGGC
rnacentral:miRNA from 1 species